rnacentral:rRNA from 1 species
UACAGAGGUGGCAAGCGUUGUUCGGAAUUACUGGGCGUAAAGGGCGCGUAGGCGGUCUUCUAAGUCUUGUGUGAAAUCCCUCGGCUCAACUGAGGAACUGCACGGGAUACUGGAUGACUUGAGUUCGGGAGAGGGAAGCGGAAUUCCGGGUGUAGCGGUGAAAUGCGUAGAUAUCCGGAGGAACACCGGUGGCGAAGGCAGCUCUCUGGGCCGUAACUGACGCUGAGGAGCGAAAGCAUGGGGAGCGAACAGG